AGUCUCCCAAAACAGUUUACUUCUUAAGUAAAAUAUCACCAGACAUCAGCUCGGCCAUCAACAGUACAUGGCCAUAUCCAAUUUAUUCAUCGGAACCAAAUUUAAGAGCAGUUGCAUAUUUCACCAAAAUAAAUAAGGAUUUACUACGACCACUCACAUAUAGAAAAAAAAACUCUGAUCAUUGUAAGCGAUUUCCAGUUUUAUGUCACAGCGAUCGAUACUCAGAGUUUGACUGGAACUGUGAUGUAUCAUUUUACAUGUAAUGAUCAUGAUUAUUUAUACACUGGAAAAUUGUGCAUAACGUCCAAUAUUUUAAACAGUUCAUACAUCAAAGAUUUAGGGGAGAAAGAACAGAUUGA